rnacentral:rRNA from 1 species
CAGUAGCGGCGAGCGAACGGGGAGGAGCCCAGAGCCUGAAUCAGCAUGUGUGUUAGUGGAAGCGUCUGGAAAGGCGCGCGAUACAGGGUGACAGCCCCGUACACAAAAGCGCAUGUGCUGUGAGCUCGAUGAGUAGGGCGGGACACGUGGUAUCCUGUCUGAAUAUGGGGGGACCAUCCUCCAAGGCUAAAUACUCCUGACUGACCGAUAGUGAACCAGUACCGUGAGGGAAAGGCGAAAAGAACCCCGGCGAGGGGAGUGAAAAAGAACCUGAAACCGU